rnacentral:rRNA from 1 species
GAGUUUGAUCCUGGCUCAGAUUGAACGCUGGCGGCAGGCUUAACACAUGCAAGUCGAGCGGAGAUGAGGUGCUUGCACCUUAUCUUAGCGGCGGACGGGUGAGUAAUGCUUAGGAAUCUGCCUAUUAGUGGGGGACAACAUUCCGAAAGGAAUGCUAAUACCGCAUACGUCCUACGGGAGAAAGCAGGGGAUCUUCGGACCUUGCGCUAAUAGAUGAGCCUAAGUCGGAUUAGCUAGUUGGUGGGGUAAAGGCCUACCAAGGCGACGAUCUGUAGCGGGUCUGAGAGGAUGAUCCGCCACACUGGGACUGAGACACGGCUCAGACUCCUACGGGAGGCAGCAGUGGGGAAUAUUGGACAAUGGGGGGAACCCUGAUCCAGCCAUGCCGCGUGUGUGAAGAAGGCCUUAUGGUUGUAAAGCACUUUAAGCGAGGAGGAGGCUACUGAGACUAAUACUCUUGGAUAGUGGACGUUACUCGCAGAAUAAGCACCGGCUAACUCUGUGCCAGCAGCCGCGGUAAUACAGAGGGUGCGAGCGUUAAUCGGAUUUACUGGGCGUAAAGCGUGCGUAGGCGGCUUUUUAAGUCGGAUGUGAAAUCCCCGAGCUUAACUUGGGAAUUGCAUUCGAUACUGGGAAGCUAGAGUAUGGGAGAGGAUGGUAGAAUUCCAGGUGUAGCGGUGAAAUGCGUAGAGAUCUGGAGGAAUACCGAUGGCGAAGGCAGCCAUCUGGCCUAAUACUGACGCUGAGGUACGAAAGCAUGGGGA